AUUGAACGCUGGCGGCAUGCUUUACACAUGCAAGUCGAACGGUAACAGGUUAAGCUGACGAGCGGCGAACGGGUGAGUAAUGCAUCGGAACGUGCCCGGUCGUGGGGGAUAACGCAGCGAAAGCUGCGCUAAUACCGCAUACGAUCUGAGAAUGAAAGCGGGGGACCGUAAGGCCUCGCGCGAUCGGAGCCGCCGAUGUCAGAUUAGGUAGUUGGUGGGGUAAAGGCUCACCAAGCCAACGAUCUGUAGCUGGUCUGGGAGGACGGCCAGCCACAAUGGGACUGAGACACGGCCCAGACGCCUACGGGAGGCAGCAGUGGGGAAUUUUGGACAAUGGGCGAAAGCCUGAUCCAGCAAUGCCGCGAGCAGGAAGAAGGCCUUCGGGUUGUAAACUGCUUUUGUACGGAGCGAAAAGGUCUCCUCUAAUACAGGGGGCUCAUGACGGUACCGUAAGAAUAAGCACCGGCUAACUACGUGCCAGCCGCCGCCGUAA
rnacentral:rRNA from 1 species